UACGAAGGGGGCUAGCGUUGCUCGGAAUUACUGGGCGUAAAGGGAGCGUAGGCGGACAGUUUAGUCAGAGGUGAAAGCCCAGGGCUCAACCUUGGAAUUGCCUUUGAUACUGACUGUCUUGAGUAUGGGAGAGGUUAGCGGAACUCCGAGUGUAGAGGUGAAAUUCGUAGAUAUUCGCAAGAACACCAGUGGCGAAGGCGGCUCACUGGCCCGGUACUGACGCUGAGGUGCGAAAGCGUGGGGAGCAAACAGG
rnacentral:rRNA from 1 species